UACGGGGGGGGGCAAGCGUUGUUCGGAAUUACUGGGCGUAAAGAGUGCGUAGGCGGUUUUCUAAGUUUGGUGUGAAAUCUCCCGGCUCAACUGGGAGGGUGCGCCGAAGACUGGAAGGCUUGAGUAUGGGAGAGGUAAGCGGAAUUCCUGGUGUAGCGGUGAAAUGCGUAGAUAUCGGAAGGAACAUCAGUGGCGAAAGCGACUUCCUGGACCAAUACUGACGCUCAUGUGCGAAAGCGUGGGGAGCAAACAGG
rnacentral:rRNA from 1 species